rnacentral:lncRNA from 10 species
GAAAAAUAAAAGACACCUCAGAAAGUAGCCUGCCUCUUUGACAAGGGACAUGCCUUCAGAGGAACAUAACAGAAACCUCUGAGAAUUGUCAACAAUAAAAAGACUGAGCAACAAGGGAAACUGGUAGGAAGCCAAAGGUUUUAAGAGGUGAGAGUGGAGAAAUGCUGUGCUUUUAUUGAUCCUCUCCAAAGGAACACCUUUAAAAAAGCAUUAUCACAUUCAACAAGUAUCGAAUGAGCAUCUUCUAUAUG